GGGGAUGUGGGGUAGCUUGGCUAUCCUUUCUGGUUUGGGACCAGAAGACCCAGGUUCAAAUCCUGGCAUCCUCA
rnacentral:tRNA from 1 species